AGGACCUGGAGAUCAUGACCUGAGCCAAAGGCAGCUGCUUAACCGACUGAGCCACACAGCAGGUAGUCUGGACUCAUGCAAAUAAUUGAUGCUGAAUACCUUCUCUAUCCUCAAAAACCUUAUCAGAAAAUCACAUGAGAAAUCUCAAAACUUGGGACGCCUGGAUGGCUCA